UAGAUCAUUGAUCAUGCAUGCGCCGCGUGCAUCAUAUCUAUGAUCUACGUAUCCAUCUACUACCAUGUAAUGCCACCUGAUCGAGGGUCUUUGUAUGUAUGUAGUAUGUACGCACCUGCCUGCAUGAGCAGAGCGGGUGCCAUUCCAUGCAUGUAAACCCCUAAAUAAAAUCUCCCGUGGUUUUGCUUACAUCGUGUUGUUAGAUCCUCCUCCUAUUAGUGUUGCUUUCGGGUUCUUCUUAUGCACUAGCAGGAUCAGAGGCCGGUCUUUUGUUCUUGGUCUUCUCCUCAAACUGUCGUUUUCCUCUUCUCUAUGGUUCCAUGUGCGGCAGUAUUUUCUUCUUCUGUUGCCGAGUGUUGUAUCAGACUGUACCUUGUUUUGUGGUUUAUUCCUAUCCAUCUCGAAAUAUAGUGCAGGAAUUUAUUUGCAAAAGGUGGAUCUCAACAAGACACGACGGUAUGUGUAUCUUGCAGGAUUUAUUGAUCGGUCUAUCUUAUGCAUCUUAUUAAAAAAAUACAUUAAGGUCUCAUGGUCAAGCCAAAUUAUCAUUGUUUUUCCUUGCAUGCAAAAUGCAGCAAUAAAUCUUCGUCCUUGGCUUGUUUCUCAUUUCACUGCCUACGUUGCAGGUAUCCGACCCUGUUGGAAUCUCCUUUUCUGUCAUUGUGUUCACUUUCUGUGAUGUGAUGUGUGCGCAAAUAUUCCCACAACAACAACAUAAUAAUAAAGCCAUAUACGCAAGCAACCGAAUAAUGGCAAUGAUAUAUUACUGCUCAAGGCGCAUCUCCAAAUCAACCUGUCAUGUCCAUGGCUGCGUCUAAGCACUCGGGGCAGAAAUACUCACUCUCCGCCACUGAUUCAUAUCACCGAAUCCACACGGCCAAAUUACGUCCUCCAUGUUUUAAGCGAUGCCACUAUAUCUCGUGGGAAAAUUGUUUCCACAGUUCGAUAUCCCUCCCUUUGAUGAAAAAAUUCACGCUUGGCUUCUGCAUCACAGAGUGCAGAUAACGAAUAUUGUUUUCUAUGUUCUGAACUGGAACACUAUAUCUUGUGUAAAAAAUUGUGUCAACAAUAUCGAUAUUCCCUCCUAUAAAAUAAAAUCAUCAAUAGCUCACUUCUCUAUAUAACUGGAUGCAAAGUAAUGGGCGGUGUGGAGCACCCAAGACAGCACGCAAAAUAUCGGUGUUAUUUUAACUCCACUACGUAGACAAGUCACUAUAUUUACACAAUUAUGUAAGAAAAAGAGCUCUUUUAUGGUACCCUGUAUUGAAUAUUGACCGUCCAUCUGCAAAGAUCCAAUGGUGGGUACUUAUCUGUACUGGUGAAACUGGAUUAGCAGCAUCGCUAGUACCGCACGUCUCACGUCCACCGGUAUACUGCUCGGAGGGCAUUAUCGGUGACUCUGCAUCACCGGCAGCCGCCCGCCGGGGCUCGCCUCCUCUUCGCCCCCAUGCCCGCUGGGGCGCCUCCUCCCUGCCUUUAAUCCGCUGUGCUAUGCAUGCUUCUAUGGUUUUGGACUUCUGGCAUGGCACCGUGCGCCCCAUCCCCCUUCCACGCUACGGCCGCGAUGUUCUUUGCCGCCCCGCAUGGCUGAGCAGUGAGCACCUUAGCAUCGCGUUUAUUGUGUUGCCUCGUUCAUGACGACAGUGCAUGCCAAACCACCCUGCGUUGACGAUGAGGCCAGGAUGUGUACAACGUCGUGGUCUUCACGGAGAGCUGCGGCUACGAGAGUGCCGGAGCCUGGCGGAACCUCGCCUAUUUUGUGCUAACCAUGCCCUCGCUACGCUCAUGGCCGUCCUCCUUUAUUUUACUACCGCUUGCCUUCAUGAUCGAGCUCUUCAUGGCCUGGAUCACGCUUUACUUUAGCCUCAGCUUGCCGGACGUGGAGCAGCUACUCAUCUGCCUUUGCUGUGAGGUCGACGACCACGUCAUUGUUCAAAAGCUCACCCAGGCAGGGCUCAACAUACCUGUUUCCUCGUCGUCACCCCGCUGUCACAGACUCACAGGAGUGCACGAUGCAUUCCGAAAUAUUGAUUCGCCAGAGCAAUUCCCUUCACGAACACAAGAAGAGCUUUCACCGUCACAUAUACUGCUCCCUCCCCAGUAGCAGUAUAGGGUACCAUAAAAACCCUCAAGAAAAAUAAAUAACUCAGAGAACUGUCUGGCCAUAGAUGGAGCUUUCUACAGAUGGGGACAAGAAUUUGGCACCACCCACUCAAUUUCCCUCUCACCUUUUUGCAUUGCUUUCAUAUGUAAAAAAACAAAAACAAAAUAGUGAGUUGACUUGCGAUCUGCCUUAAAAUGACAAGAUGACGGUUGGGGGUUAAAAAAACAUUCAAAUGCAUUUUAUAUAUUCAUAUGUUUACUUAUUUUGUAUUUGUUUGUGCAUGUCAUAAAAAUCAUCAAUUUCCACAAGCAUACAUAAUACUCAAUGAUCUACAUUGACAAUAGGCUUUGAGAUUUUUCAACGCAUGACAAGAAAAAUCAAAUGAGGUCAGCUGGAAAUUAAAGAUCAGUUUUGACUUCCAAAAAAUUAUGAUCUCUUUUGUCCAAACUUAAAAGGAAUCAUUACAGAAAAUUUGGAGAUUCCAAUUGUUAGAAUAUUUUCCUACAGGACUAGUAGGGCUGGGAACCAUAAUGAUAUUUUCUAUGGCCUAAUUGACAUGUUUAUGUUGAGCCAAAUCUUUUGGAAAUAGUUUCGUUGAUUCAGUGACAACUAUGUGCUUGCACCUAACGCUUGAGAAAAUUCUUGUAUUUUUUCCCUCUUGCAAUAAAUCAACAUCCAUAUUUUACGCAUUUACUCCAUCUUCAAUUCCCACAGAAUUCAACACAGCAUGACCUGAAAUCUGUGUGUUAAGUUUUCCGGUUCCUGUCUUUUUAAAAUGCUGCAAAAGUAUGUGGCAUGUAAUCUUUAAAAAUAGUGGGAGUGUGAUAGUUAUUGAAAUGCAUGUAGGAUGGAAACUAAAAUUUCAGUAAAAUUCAGCUUAUAACACUAAAAUUGAAAAGGUUGCCAAGCCUAUGGCAACCAAGAGCCGCCAAGAUUUCUUAAAUAACAAAUAUUUUCGGCGACCUCCCCCAAAGAAGACAUAGCUUUUUCCUUGUCUUGACAUUCAAAAGCACUGAGUGAGGGGUAUCGGCUGAAUAUAUUCACUAAGGGCAUGCACAAAAGAGAGUUGACUAUUAUUAUUUUGCAAUGCUUUCAGAAUUUAGUUUGAUAUUGGUUUAAUUCAUAGUUCAUAAUUUACCGAGAAAUACCACUACGAGGUCAAGCACCCCUAAACUUGACCGUUAUGGCUGCAUGCAUCAAUGUAUGCCGAGGGCCGCGCGCGGGGGGUCUUGUUUGGAAAAUAAUAAUGAUCUUAUAGUGCAAUGAUUGGUCAUUGCCUAAGGUAUUUCCCUCUGUUCCAAGAUACAAGGUGUAUUUUUUAUUAAAAAAAACAAAAUUCCCUAUGUUUGACCAAAUUUAAAAUAAAACGUCUCUGUGUUUGGAAACCAUUUAUAUUUUUAUAAGCUCGAUCAAACAUAGAAGAUUUGACUUCAGAAAAAAAAAUAGUACAACUUAUAUUAUGAAACGGGAGUUAGUAGGUACACCAAUAAUUCGAUAUACGCACAAAAUGCUGGCUGUAGUUCCUUUCAUGGCUCCUUUGAUGUAAGAAAGAUGCUAGUAGAGACUAGAGACAAAGGGAAUCAAAUUAUGGGAGGAGGCGGCCCUAUCUAUAUUCCUCUUCCCCAAGCGGUUGCUCCCGUCCAUCCUUUGCCAAAAGUGGAGCAUCUCCCAUUUCCUUCUUCAUCUUCUCCUCCUCCUCCUUCCUUCGUAUUCACUCACCUAUAAAUAGCCCUCGCUGCCUGCCAUUGUUACUCAAGCCAGCAAGCAAGAAGCACAAAAGAAGCCAACACCAAUCAAGGCCUCCAUCCAAUCCCAAGCAACCUCGAAGAUGUCUUGCUGCGGAGGAAGCUGCGGCUGCGGCAGCGCCUGCAAGUGCGGCAACGGCUGCGGCGGCUGCAACAUGUACCCCGAGGUCGAGGCCGCCGGCGCCACCCUCCUCGUCGCCGCCACCGCCACCCACAAGGCGUACGUCCCUUCUCCUUCCUCAUAUAUCAUGCACUCGAUCGUAACAAUAUGACUGUAUGUUGAUCUUGGUAUGGGUGGGGUACGUGCAGGAGCUCCGGCGGCAUGGAGAUGGCGGCCGAGAACGGCGGCUGCGGCUGCACCCAGUGCAAGUGCGGCACCAGCUGCGGCUGCUCCUGCUGCAGCUGCUAGAUCAUCGGUCAUGCAUGCACCGCGUGCCUCAUAUCUAUGAUCUAUCUAUAUAUCCAUCUACCACCAUGUAACGCUACCUGAUCACGGUCUUUGUAUGUAUGUACGCACCUGCCUGCAUGAGCAGAGCAGGUGCCAUGCCAUGCAUGUAAACCCCUAAAUAAAAUCUCCCGUGGUUUAACCCCCUAUACAUGUGUUUGUGUUAUAGUCUUAUAGACCAACUUCUGGCCCAUGUUUACUAUGAACUUGCGACUUGCGAGGUGCCUGGGUUGUUAAUAGACCAGCUGGAUGCUCUCUUGAAGCAACGUAUGCACCGCUUGGAGUCGGUGUAUCUUUAUACACAUGUAUUUAUUUUACAGGUGUAUAUCAUCGGCCACACCUGGG
rnacentral:lncRNA from 1 species